rnacentral:lncRNA from 10 species
UAGAGCAGGAAUGGAUCUGAAGUCAAUGAAAAACUCUUCAUAGCUCUAGUUGUUGGGCUUCCCCAGAAGAUGACAUUGAAAGGAAGGUUUGGAUGCAAGUUGUUCAUUUAGGAGGAGAUCUCAGGAAGCACAAAGUAUUUCCUUGAGUCAGGACCUCCAAGUCCUCCCCUAACUAAAUGCACAGAGGGAGGACCCUAUGAAGACUCAGAGAGAAGAUGGCCAUCUGUAAGCUAAGGAGAGAGGCAUCAGCAGAAACCAACUCUGUGGACACCUUGAUCUUGGACUUCCAGCCUCCGGAAGUGUGAGACACUGAAUUUCGGUAUAUAAGCCAGUCAAUCCAUGGUACAUGGUUAUGGAAGCCCUAGUAAGCAAAUACAAAUUUAUGUCCAAAUAAACUACUUGCAUGUGAA